GGAAAAGAUAGAGGUGCGGGCUUCAAGAGUAUUUUUUACCAGAUGGUGAGUGACAGGUAAACAAGAAAGGGGAGACUGCCGAAGGGAUGGAUUUGCACUCAAAAAUACAAUCUCUGGGAUAAUGGAUAAGAUGCAUUAUACUGUCACGAAUGUGGAGAGCUAUCUCAGGG
rfam:Firmicutes bacterium CAG:227 genomic scaffold, scf137